rnacentral:rRNA from 1 species
UACGUAGGGUCCGAGCGUUGCCCGGAAUUAUUGGGCGUAAAGGGCUCGUAGGCGGUUUGUCACGUCGGGAGUGAAAACUCGGGGCUUAACCCCGAGCCUGCUUCCGAUACGGGCAGACUAGAGGUAGGCAGGGGAGAGCGGAACUCCUGGUGUAGCGGUGGAAUGCGCAGAUAUCAGGAAGAACACCGGUGGCGAAGGCGGCUCUCUGGGCCUUACCUGACGCUGAGGAGCGAAAGCGUGGGUAGCGAACAGG